AUGUCAUAGUGAGGGAAUUCCCUUAACAGCUCUUUAAACCUCUUUCAUGCAUCAGGAACAACUUCAUUGUCCAUUUGUUAAAAAAAACAAAUUUCAUUUCUAGACUU